rnacentral:lncRNA from 1 species
AUAGUAUUAUAUUGUAUGGAUAUAUUAUAACUCACCUAUCUCCCUAUUGAUGAACAUUUAGGUUGUUUCCAAUAUUUGCCUGUUAAAACCAAACGGCAGAGAACAUCUUUCUGCAUGUCUCCAUGGGCGUUUAUAUGAGAUUCUUUCCUGAGAUAUAUCUGCUAGAAGUGGAGUCUGUGGAUCAUCAGGUGUGCACAUAUUUGAGUUUUCUAGAUAUUGCCAAAUUGUUCUCUAAAAUGUUUGGGCUGCCUUAUACUCCUCCCAGCAGAGUAUUUUCAUUCUGCCACAUACUACGCUUUAAACAUUUUUGUAAUUGAUGUAGCUCUCUAAGAUUUUUAAUACAAGAAGAGGCCUGAAUGGCCACUUGAGGUCAUUUUUAGGUCUAAGAAUCUAUUUAUUCCCAACACACAGAAUUAUAUCCCGCUAUGACGCUUCUGAAUGAAACUGCUCUUUCAUUAGUGAUUGAGUUAAAGUGUGGCCCAGUAGAGCGCCCAUCUCAUUCUUUUGAAUGUUGAUAUUCCCGACAUAUUUGGUGUUGCAAUAAGAAAUUAUUAUUGCCAGAUAUUUAAAGCCAGAUAUACACAGGAAUUUAUACCAUAGUAGCAAAGUGUAACCUCCACCACGUGGGCCAAGAAAUAAUAUAUGCCAUCUAAUUUGUCAAGACAACAUGUUUUUGUGGGGCCUGCUGACUUCUGCUAGGGGACUUUGGGGAAGUUAAGGAGCCAGCCCCACUCUGUCUUACUUUCUAGGUGUAUAACAGGCUCCUGCAGCCUUCUCUUCCAGUCCUACUUCUAGUCAUCUUACUCAUCUCUCCUUGGCAAAGAGGGAACUUCAAAUGCCCCACAGACUUGGAACAAACCCCAAAGCUCGUCACCCAGCACACAAAUGCAACCAUUUCUGGAUUCAUUCCUCCCAGGAUGGAAAGAAGUGUCUAAGAAAUGACAUCUUGAAGACAGGGGACUCCAGAAUCCGUCGAGACCCACCCAGGUACUCCAAGCCACUGCUGCUUCACAGAUCCCAGGAAAACAACUCCGUUUUUAGAAAUUGUUCAAUCACUCAAAUAGCAUUGAAUAAGCACCUAAUGGGCGUUUGGUACCAGGUGAACACAAAAGAAAAGUCAGCUGUUCUUCUUCAUCCUAAGAGCUUAUGAGUUUAUGGUUGAUUUUCAAGACAAACCCACAAACAUGUCCUUUCUUGACCCAGAAAGAAAAACAAUAGUAAUAUCUUGAUGUUGAGCAGUCCUUACCUCUGCAGACCCUGCGUUGCCAGCCCUGUGCUUCCACUGUUCAUGGCAUCCUCUAGGGCUGUUGGUGAGACCUUGCCUUGUGAAGGUAAUGUGCUUCUGAAAAGCAGCGUGCAAAUAGCCUUUGGCAAACCCAAACAUUUGAAAAAUACACUGGGUGACUUUUCUAUUUAAGGAAAUUCAGUGGUUGGUCAUUUUCGUUACACAACUAAUCAAUACUGUAAUUUAUCUUUUGAGUGUAAUGUUUUUAUUUUGCAGGCCCCUUACAUGUAAAUAUUCUCUUCAGCUAAUAAAUACAUCUCUUCUUUGAUUUUGUUUCUGUGA